rnacentral:rRNA from 1 species
UACGUAGGGGGCAAGCGUUGUCCGGAAUCAUUGGGCGUAAAGCGCGAGUAGGCGGCUCGAUAAGUCUGCUGUGAAAGUCCAGGGCUCAACCCUGGAAAGCCGGUGGAAACUGUCGGGCUAGAGUCCGGAAGAGGCGAGUGGAAUUCCUGGUGUAGCGGUGAAAUGCGCAGAUAUCAGGAGGAACACCAAUGGCGAAGGCAGCUCGCUGGGACGGUACUGACGCUGAGACGCGAAAGCGUGGGGAGCAAACAGG